rnacentral:rRNA from 1 species
GACGAACGCUGGCGGCGUGCUUAACACAUGCAAGUCGAACGGAAAGGCCCUUCGGGGUCCUCGAGUGGCGAACGGGUGAGUAACACGUGGGUGAUCUGCCCUGCACUUUGGGAUAAGCCUGGGAAACUGGGUCUAAUACCGAAUAGGACCACGCGCUUCAUGGUGUGUGGUGGAAAGCUUUUGCGGUGUGGGAUGGGCCCGCGGCCUAUCAGCUCGUUGGUGGGGUAAUGGCCUACCAAGGCGACGACGGGUAGCCGACCUGUGAGGGGGACCAGCGACACUAGGACUAAGGGACGGACCAGACUGCAACGGGAGGCAACAGGGGAAAGUAUUACACAGUGAGGGCGAGCGUGAUGCAGCGGCGCCGCGUGAGGGAUGACGGCCUUCGGGGUAUGAACCUCUUUCAAUAGAGACGAAGCGCAAGUGACGGUACCUAUAGAAGAAGCACCGGCCAACUACGUG